CAUGCCGUAAACGAUGAGUGCUAAGUGUUAGGGGGUUUCCGCCCCUUAGUGCUGCAGCUAACGCAUUAAGCACUCCGCCUGGGGAGUACGACCGCAAGGUUGAAACUCAAAGGAAUUGACGGGGACCCGCACAAGCAGCGGAGCAUGUGGUUUAAUUCGAAGCAACGCGAAGAACCUUACCAGGUCUUGACAUCCCGAUGACCGCUCUAGAGAUAGAGUUUUCCCUUCGGGGACAUUGGUGACAGGUGG
rnacentral:rRNA from 1 species